GUCGAACGGGCUUUUCUGAGGUAGCAAUACUUUAGAAAAGCAAGUGGCGAACGGGUGCGUAACACGUGAACAAUCUACCUUUAAGUGGGGAAUAGCUCGUCGAAAGGCGAAUUAAUACCGCAUGUGGUCAGGUCUCGCAUGAGAUUUGAACUAAAGUCAGGGACCGCAAGGCCUGACGCUUUUAGAGGAGUUCGCGGCCUAUCAGCUAGUUGGCGAGGUAAUGGCUCACCAAGGCUAAGACGGGUAGCUGGUCUGAGAGGAUGAUCAGCCACACUGG
rnacentral:rRNA from 1 species